rnacentral:rRNA from 1 species
GGAUUAGAUACCCUGGUAGUCCACGCCGUAAACGAUGUCUACUAGCCGUUGGGGUACUUGAGACCUUAGUGGCGCAGCUAACGCACUAAGUAGACCGCCUGGGGAGUACGGCCGCAAGGUUAAAACUCAAAUGAAUUGACGGGGGCCCGCACAAGCGGUGGAGCAUGUGGUUUAAUUCGAUGCAACGCGAAGAACCUUACCAGGACUUGACAUCCUCAGAACUUGCCAGAGAUGGCUUGGUGCCUUCGGGAACUGAGUGACAGGUGCUGCAUGGCUGUCGUCAGCUCGUGCCG